rnacentral:rRNA from 1 species
UACGUAGGGUGCGAGCGUUAAUCGGAAUUACUGGGCGUAAAGCGUGCGCAGGCGGUUUUGUAAGCCAGAUGUGAAAUCCCCGGGCUUAACCUGGGAAUGGCAUUUGGGACUGCAAGGCUGGAGUGCGGCAGAGGAGACUGGAAUUCCUGGUGUAGCAGUGAAAUGCGUAGAUAUCAGGAGGAAUACUGAUGGCGAAGGCAGGUCUCUGGGCUGACGACUGACGCUCAUGCACGAAAGCGUGGGGAGCAAACAGG